AUACCAUAGAAAGCAACUUCAAAUCUGUUUAUAUAAGUUUUGAAGAGUCUGCGACGCACAGACAGAGGAAUUUUGUAUAACUGAACAAGAACUAAAUUAAAAUGUGUGGAAACUUAAGAUGGUACUCGUACGCGACUUACUGCUGGCUAUUUAAUAGCAAGGAUUAAUGCAUUUAGUUCAAAAUAUUUGUAACAAAAAAAUAUCCAAAUGGUACACAGAAAGAAUAAAAAUAACAAAAGAAUGGGCUACAAAAAAUAUAAUCAAUCCAAAUGGAUACCGGCAUAUUCAUCGUAACCACAGGACAGAUUGAGAUUCUGGAGAGCUUGAGUAGCAGCACCUUUAAGUAAAUUGUCGAUAGUAACUACAAUGACUGCACGCUUUCCAGAAGAGUGCACACCAAAACCACCAACUGAAACAUGAUGCUUGUGUGCGUUGUCCUUGACCAAAGGUACAUCUCCUUGAACAUGAAUUAAAGGCUCACCAUUAUAACGGUCUUGGUAUAAGUUACGAAGCUCACGGGAAGUUAUACUUUUCUUUAACGGAACAUUAAUAGUUAAAGUAAUUCCUUGGAACCAUUGAGCAACGUGAGGAAUAAAGGCGACAGGUUGCUUUAAACGAUAAGAAAUUUCACGUUCAUGGAUGUGAUCAGUUAAUGAGUAAGGUAUCAAAUUGUUUGUCAAUACAUUCAAGUCAUUCUUCGGAGAGGGCUUAGUGCCAGCCCCAGAAUAACCAGAUACACCAAAAAUAGAGGGCUGGCCGUCAAUCAAAGAGAGUAUGGGAGUUAAACCGACUUGCGAUCCAGUAGCGUAACAACCAGGAUUGGAAAUACGUUUCGAGUUACGCAAAGCUUCACGGUCAUUUAGUUCAGGAAGACCGUACUGCCACGAGGGCUCAAAACGGUAGUCCGCACUUAAAUCAACAAUGACACUUUUACCAUUUGCAGACGUUAAAGCAUCGACAUAAGGUUUGCAUACACCGUUGGGUAGGGCCAUGACCCAAGCAUCAACCGCUCCCUCUUCCUCUAAUUUUUUAACAUCAUCUGUGGACAAGUUGACAUACUGAAUUUCUUUCUUAGUGUAGCCAGGAAGUUUGGUGCCUUCCAACUCACGAGAAGAAACAUGAGAUAAUUCGAGAUAAGGAUGAGUGUUAAUCAAUCCAAUCAAGUUCUUUCCGGUAUAACCACGGGCUCCAAGGAGAACGACUUUUG